rnacentral:lncRNA from 1 species
AUCUGCUCCCAGAGUCUUCAAUGGCGCUUCACACGUCCUCAGAAGAGUAGACUCUUUAGCCUGGCGUUUGAAACUCCUCGUGAUCUGAGCCCAGAAUCACUACCUGUCAGCACUGCCUGUAGCCGUGAGACCUCAGCAGCUGGGGCCUCUGCAUAUGCUUUAAAAGGCUCUGAUCUGAAGUUCCUCCGGCGAGUCCCAUCCUUACGGGGCAAGCAGUCUGCAACGCCAAUGGCCCAGGUUCCCCUGGAAGCCAUACCUCCUUCUCUGGACUAUACUUUGGGGACUGGGCCCCCCAAUUCUGGAAGAGUCCCAAGCUCUGGAACUCCUGUCCCUAUGGAAUUUGGGGUGCGCCACUCUUGUGGCAUGUGGAUACUUUCACAGACCAGGAAGCUAUCAGAACUCAGUUGUUUAGGCUUUUUACGGAAGCUCCAUUACGUAAGCAUGAUUGAUUAGGUCACUGGCCAUUGGUGAUCAAUUCAACCUGCUUGAAUGGCACUGGGCUGCUUCCAGGGCCUUGUGGGCCUCUUCCCUGGGUUCUUCUCCUGGAGCUGGACUGCACUUCCCGUGCACACAUCUUUAGGCCCAAGGGAUAGAGAGCAGGACAGUGGGACCCCUAGGCCCCCAUUCAACUCCAGGCCUGCUGAGGGGUUGCUGGAGGGGGUACCAGGAGUAGCCUGAAUGAUGGGUUUGGCUGGGUUGCAAAUGCUCCUGGAUGGGCUUUACUCACCAGGUUGGCGAGAGCCAAGUGUCAAGGAGGCCCAGACUCAGCGCCCAGGUUGACUCCACAACUUUGCUGAGGGGAGUGGCUUGCUCAAGGGGAAGAAUGCCAGAGCUAGAACUGAAACUCAGGACUCCUUCCCUCCCCUUUUUGGUCAUUUUAUUGAGGUGUAAUUUAUAGACAAGACAAUUUGCCAAUUUCACGUAUACAAUUUGAUGAGUUUUGACAAAUGUAUACAGUCUCAUUACCACAACCGAUUACAGUCAUGAUGAAAGGAAAACUUUGUCUACUAUUUCUAGGAU